UGAGUACUCUAAGGAGAGAUCUGCUUCACCACUUGUACAACGUCAUAACUUUAUGCACCUAGAUGAUAAUUUAGUUCUGGAAGAUGAGAGCGGAAGAGUCAAACUAAGUGGUUGUUUGCUGCCGUCUACAUAUGUAACAGGAAAUAUUAUUGCAUUGCAUGGAAAAGAAACUAGUGCAGGUGAAUUUUUUGUUGAAGAUGCUCUAGAGGCUGGCCUACCACAACAGAUAGAGCAGCCAAUUCAACUAGGUGAAGAUAAAUAUGUGGUUUUCAUCUCUGGUUUGAGUGUUGGAAGAAGCUCUUCUAAUCCUCUCCAAUUUCAACUUUUAGUUGAUCACAUUACUGGACAUUUAGGAGAUGAGAAGGAACAAAAUAUUGCAGCUCAAAUAGUUCAAGUUGUUAUUGCUGGAAACUCUGUUGAAGUUCCUCAUGGACUUCUCAACGGACAGAAUUUGGGGUCAAAGGACCAGUCCAGAUUGUUUGAGCCAAUUAAAGAGCUUGAUAUUUUGUUAACUCAGAUUGCAGCAAGUAUACCUUUGGAUAUCAUGCCAGGGUCCAGUGAUCCAGCAAAUUUCUCCCUCCCUCAGCAGCCUCUCCAUAGAUGCCUUUUCCCUGGAUCAUCAGCGUAUAACACUUUCAGAUCUUGCACGAAUCCACAUUGUUUUGAACUUGACAACAUCAGGUUCCUAGGUACAUCUGGUCAAAAUAUUGAUGAUCUUGGCAAGUAUUCGGAGGCAAACAACAAUAUUGACUUUAUGGAGAGAACAUUGAGGUGGAGACACCUAGCACCAACAGCACCAAAUACCCUUGGUUGCUAUCCCUUCACUGAUAGGGAUCCUUUCUAUAUCGAAACAUGUCCUCAUGUUUAUUUUGUUGGCAACCGGGAUAAAUAUGAAUCUCGCUUGAUAAAAGGAUCAGAAGGACAGAUGGUAAUGCUUAUUUGCAUUCCUAGAUUUGCAGAGACUGGAGUUGCAGUGGUGUUGAAUAUCAGAAACCUUGAGUGCCAUACGCUCAGCUUUGCCACUCAAAUCAACUCAUAAUAGCAAGGACCUCAAGGUUUAAUAACAAAUUCUGGGGAAAAAAAGGUUGCAUUUGAUGUGUUUGAAGGUUUAAGAAAAUAUAAUUUGUCUAAACUCUCUUCAAUCAUGUCUGUUAAAUUGAUUUCUCUUAUGUAAUAUUUGUAUCUCUUUAAAUUGGAUUCUCUCGUGAUAGUCGAAACCUUUUUAUUAUCUACUCACUCAAAUGACAUCACAAUUUUAACUGUUA
rnacentral:misc_RNA from 1 species